rnacentral:rRNA from 1 species
CCUACGUGCGGCAGCAGUAGGGAAUCUUCCACAAUGGGCGAAAGCCUGAUGGAGCAACGCCGCGUGGGUGAAGAAGGUCUUCGGAUCGUAAAACCCUGUUGUUCGAGAAGAAAGUGCGUGAGAGUAACUGUUCACGUUUCGACGGUAUCUAACCAGACAGCCACGGCUCACUACGUGCCAGCAGCCGCGGUAAUACGUAGGUAGCAAGCGUUAUCCGGCUUUAUUGGGCGUCAAGGGAACGCAGGCGGUCUUUUAAGUCUGAUGUGAAAGCCUUCGGCUUAACCGGAGUAGUGCAUUGGAAACUGGGAGACUUGAGUGCAGACGAGGAGAGUGGAACUCCAUGUGUAGCGGUGAAAUGCGUAGAUAUAUGGAAGAACACCAGUGGCGAAAGCGGCUCUCUGGGCUGUAACUGACGCUGAGGUUCGAAAGCGUGGGUAGCAAACAGGAUUAGAUACCCCUGUAGUC